CAGUCGCCGCGGUAAUACAGAGGGUGCAAGCGUUAAUCGGAUUUACUGGGCGUAAAGGGCGCGUAGGUGGUGGUUUAAGUCCGUUGUGAAAGCCCUGGGCUCAACCUGGGAAUUGCAGUGGAUACUGGGUCACUAGAGUGUGGUAGAGGAUAGUGGAAUUUCCGGUGUAGCAGUGAAAUGCGUAGAGAUCGGAAGGAACAUCUGUGGCGAAGGCGACUAUCUGGGCCAACACUGACACUGAGGCACGAAAGCGUGGGGAGCAAACAGGAUUAGAUACCCCGGUAGUCCCUGUCUCUUAUAC
rnacentral:rRNA from 1 species